UACAGGGGGUGCAAACGUUGCUCGGAAUUAUUGGGCGUAAAGCGCGCGUAGGCGGCUACUUAAGUCGGAUGUGAAAGCCCUUGGCUCAACUGAGGAAGUGCACCCGAAACUGAGUGGCUUGAGUACUAAAGAGGGUCGCGGAAUUCCCGGUGUAGAGGUGAAAUUCGUAGAUAUCGGGAGGAACACCGGUGGCGAAGGCGGCGACCUGGGUAGAUACUGACGCUGAGGCAUGAAAGCGUGGGGAGCAAACAGG
rnacentral:rRNA from 1 species